rnacentral:rRNA from 1 species
GAUGAACGCUGGCGGCGUGCUUAACACAUGCAAGUCGAACGAGAAAUGAUAUUACGAUCUCUUCGGAGUGACGGUUUUAUUUCGAGUGGCGGACGGGUGAGUAACGCGUGAGCAACCUGCCCUAUACCGGGGGAUACCAGUUGGAAACGACUGUUAAUACCGCAUAAGCGCACGAUAAGACAUCUUGUUGUGUGAAAAACUCCGGUGGUAUAGGAUGGGCUCGCGUAUGAUUAGCCAGUUGGCGGGGUAAAGGCCCACCAAAGCGACGAUCAUUAGCCGACCUGAGAGGGCGACCGGCCACAUUGGGACUGAGACACGGCCCAAACUCCUACGGGAGGCAGCAGUGGGGAAUAUUGCACAAUGGGCGAAAGCCUGAUGCAGCGACGCCGCGUGAGUGAGGAAGUAUUUCGGUAUGUAAAGCUCUAUCAGCAGGGAAGAAAGAAAUGACGGUAC